CACCUCCCAAAGGAGCCAAGCUCUGGCCCUGUGGAAACCACAUCCAUCAGCGCCCACUGUGUCCUGCCCAUAUGACGUCUGGCUGCCCUGAGGGGCAGGGCAGGAUUUCUGUAUUUCACCAGAAUCCAUAGUGAGUCCCUGGAAUCUCCCAUCCCCAUCUCAACCCCUGCCCCAGGUUCCAAAGUGGAAGAGCUUUCGCCAUCCCCUUUGCUGGAAUGGGAAGGUGAAACCAUGGGAGGAUGGCAUCGGGCACGAUUCUCUUUUUUAUACUCGUAUUUCAGAGGUGAAGGCCGGAUUUCUUGCCCUGAGCUUCCUGCAGAUCGUGAUGCAAGGCCUGUCCGACAUCAGUUCUACAUUCCAGCCUCCUUUCCUCCCGGGAAAUCAGAGGGAUUGGAGACACAUUGAAGGUGCAACAGAGUGAUGGUGACGAUGUUGGGCGGUUGGUGCAGGCGCUUUGCAGGGUCUCCAGGGUGGCAUUCCACUGUCACAGAGAAACGCAGUGGGGGCGCGGGGGUCCAGCUGCACUUUGCAUUCCAGAGUGGCAUUCCACUGUCAGGGACAAACGCUGUGGGGGGGUCCCGCUGCACUUUGCAGGGUCUCCAGGGUGGCGUUCCACUGUCACGGAGAAACACCGGGGGUGGGGUUAGGCCUCCAACCUCUCAAAGAAUAAGCGGUGGGGCCGCUGCAGGUGCAUCGUAUGCUUGCAAAGUAAAAUAUCAGACCCAAAAAAGUGUUGCUGAAAGGAGAUUUUAUGUAUGUAGAGAAAAGAGAAGGAAAGGAGAAGAAGAGAAGGACCUCCACGAAGAGUGUGGAAGGGGAUUCCAGAAAGCUGGAAAUCCAGCGCAGGGUCACUGGAGAAGCUGGCGUCGACGGGCCUGGGAACAGAUGGAAGCCCAUGAGGCCUCCAUGGUGUCCUGGUAGCACCUGGUGGAAGUGACGCCCACGUGCUGCUUCGGCCCAUGGCCAGGUCAGGCCAGGUCCCACCUCAGGGCAGCGUCCCCAUGAAUGUCUGUGGUCACCUACUCUCAGCCAACAAGAAAAGAAACAGCACCACCUGGGGCAGAAGAGGCUACCCAGGUGAGAAGACGCUUUGGUUUUUUGAUCUACAUUAUUUAUACACUUAAAAUUAAAACUGGGGAGCACUCCUCUGUAACUGUCAAUCUCGCCACAGGAACGAGUCCACCAGACCACAUCUGAAUUCCAGCAUCCCCUCCACGCGCGGGGCAGUCCACCUUCCAGAGCCCUGCUUCUCUCAGGGCAGCGCUUCCCCCGGCAACACCCCACAAUAGGGAGUGGGGAUGUGGAGUUGAAGCCGACCUGGAAGAAGCACCAGGGCCCUGGUGCCACACAGUGACUCCAGUGCCUGUGAGCAGUGGGCGUGGGGGGCCCCUCCUGUGCCUGUGAGCAAUGGGUGGGGCGUGGGGGGCCCUCCUGCCCAAACACCUGGGAGGUCAGUGGACUUCCUUCUGGACGAGCUUUAGAAAGCCCAAGUAGGAGGGCGAUGUGUAUGUGUGUGUGUUCAUGUGUGUGUUCACAGAUGUGUUUGUGUUGUGUGUUCAUGUGUGUUCACAUAUGUGUUCAUGUUUGUGUUGUGUGUGUUCGUAUGUGUGUGUUGUGUUUUCAUGUGUGUUCAUGUGUGUGUAUGUGUGUUUGUGUGUUGUGUGUUAAUAGGUGUUUGUGUUUGUGUGUGUGUUCGUGUGUGUUUGUGUGUUUGUGUAUGUGUGUGUGUGCACCUAAAGAAGAUCUCCACCUCUGAGACAAAAAAAAAUGAGCAAGGAACAAUACUUUUCAUUCAGCAGGUAUUUAUUACUUCAAAGAGACCAGUCAAAAUCACGGAAAGAUUUUACACCUGCCACAGACCGUCUCCAAGAGGCGAGAGACCCCAUGCUUGAGACUCAUACUAGAACCACCUGCUGAAGGA
rnacentral:lncRNA from 13 species